rnacentral:tRNA from 1 species
GGCCCGUUGGUCAAGCGGUUAAGACACCUCCCUUUCACGGAGGUAACGGGGGGUUCGAUUCCCCCCACGGGUCACCA